rnacentral:rRNA from 1 species
GGUGUCCAUAGCGAAGGUUAAAAACCCGUUCUCAUCUCGAACACGGAAGUGAAGCCCUUCAGCGCCGAUUGUACUGCAUCUUAAGGUGUGGGAGAGUAGGUCAAUG